GUGCCAGCCGCCGCGGUAAUACGUAGGGUGCAAGCGUUGUCCGGAAUUAUUGGGCGUAAAGAGCUCGUAGGCGGUUUGUCGCGUCUGCUGUGAAAACUCGGGGCUCAACUCCGAGCUUGCAGUGGGUACGGGCAGACUAGAGUGCGGUAGGGGAGACUGGAAUUCCUGGUGUAGCGGUGGAAUGCGCAGAUAUCAGGAGGAACACCGGUGGCGAAGGCGGGUCUCUGGGCCGUAACUGACGCUGAGGAGCGAAAGCAUGGGGAGCGAACAGGAUUAGAUACCCGUGUAGUCC
rnacentral:rRNA from 1 species